rnacentral:rRNA from 1 species
AGUCGAACGGAAGUCGUUAUAAAAAGGAUUGAAGAUUUAUCUGAUUGAGACUUUAUAACAAUGGCUUUAGUGGCGGACUGGUGAGUAACGCGUGAGCAACCUGCCUACUAGAGGGGAAUAACAGUGAGAAAUCAUUGCUAAUACCGCAUAUGCCAUGAACAUCACAUGAUGAAAAUGGGAAAAGAGUAAUCUGCUAGUAGAUGGGCUCGCGUCUGAUUAGAUAGUUGGUGGGGCAACGGCCUACCAAGUCGACGAUCAGUAGCCGGACUGAGAGGUUGAACGGCCACAUUGGGACUGAGAUACGGCCCAGACUCCUACGGGAGGCAGCAGUCGGGAAUAUUGCGCAAUGGAGGAAACUCUGACGCAGUGACGCCGCGUAUAGGAAGAAGGUUUUCGGAUUGUAAACUAUUGUCGUUAGGGAAGAUACAAGACAGUACCUAAGGAGGAAGCUCCGGCUAACUACGUGCCAGCAGCCGCGGUAAUACGUAGGGAGCAAGCGUUAUCCGGAUUUAUUGGGUGUAAAGGGUGCGUAGACGGGACAACAAGUUAGUUGUGAAAUCCCUCGGCUUAACUGAGAAACUGCAACUAAAACUAUUGUUCUUGAGUGUUGGAGAGGAAAGUGGAAUUCCUAGUGUAGCGGUGAAAUGCGUAGAUAUUAGGAGGAACACCGGUGGCGAAGGCGACUUUCUGGACAAUAACUGACGUUGAGGCACGAAAGUGU